AGCAGUAUGGCGCGGCCGGUAGCGCACGGGGCCUAUAUGUGCCAUUAAAAGAUCAAUUGCGCGUAUCUCCCGGGGUCACUUGUUCGAGUCAAGUUACUGCUG